UGAAUUGCCUAUAAAUAUGAAUUGUAAAUAACUUGUGAAAUUUUUAAAAAUAGUCAAAAUGUGUUUUAUAUCCUUGGAAGUCUAUUAAAAGAAAUUUUAGGCUUUCUCGUUUAAGUUAUGGUUUUAAUAAUUUAGGUUUCAUACUUGUAGUCAUAUUAAUUUUCUAUCCUUGGUAUCUGAUUUUGUGAGUUGCUAAGUAAUUGGGCUUCAUAAUUGUGGGCUUAAUUUUGGGUUUUCAUUGCCCAUGCCCACUGAGG
rnacentral:misc_RNA from 1 species